UACAGAGGUGGCAAGCGUUGUUCGGAAUUACUGGGCGUAAAGGGCGCGUAGGCGGCCCUCUAAGUCAGACGUGAAAUCCCCCGGCUUAACCUGGGAACUGCGUCUGAUACUGGGGGGCUUGAGUUUGGGAGAGGGAUGUAGAAUUCCAGGUGUAGCGGUGAAAUGCGUAGAUAUCUGGAGGAAUACCGGUGGCGAAGGCG
rnacentral:rRNA from 1 species